UAAUUCGAUGAUUCAUCAAGUGGCCCUGAUGUUAGCUACUGAGUAGGCGACUCACACCCAUCCCCAAUAGAGACAGCAUAUGGUCCUUUCCACAGGGUGCUCAGGAGAGCAGAGAAAGGAUAAACUACUGUCUUUUUCCGGGAUUCUUCUACCCAGGCUGGAAAGAUCUAGCCGUGUUAGCUGUGCAAAUGACGUGUACCCAGGAUCUGGUGAAAAAGGCCAAAGGGGAAUCCCUUAAUCAUAAAUGGAAAGAAAACCCACUGAUGAUGUCAUUGGAACUCGAAUUAAGAUUGAAAACUCCACAGGCACAUUUCCAUCUGUGGGUGUCAGCUGCUUGGUACACAGUCGUAAGAAGGCCUCAGCCAGUUCUCCCGUUACCUGAACCAAAUGUAUUUUAAAAUAAAUGAUGCAAAACAUUGCAUUUUGUGUUCAAAUACUCUCAUGUAAUGAUCUGAAUAAUAGUCUAAGAAAAUUGUUUUGAUUCAGCUAAAUGCUUUGCUAACCGCAGUUUUUUUAAAAAAAAAUUACAAUAAAA
rnacentral:lncRNA from 1 species